rnacentral:tRNA from 1 species
UAAGGUAAAGCUUUAUAGUUAAGCUCUUCACUUACGUUGAAAGGAUAUUCGUGCGAUUCGAUUUGCCUUAA